UACGAAGGGGGCUAGCGUUGCUCGGAAUCACUGGGCGUAAAGCGCACGUAGGCGGAUCUUUAAGUCAGGGGUGAAAUCCCGGAGCUCAACUCCAGAACUGCCUUUGAUACUGGGGAUCUCGAGUCCGGGAGAGGUGAGUGGAACUGCGAGUAUAGAGGUGAAAUUCGUAGAUAUUCGCAAGAACACCAGUGGCGAAGGCGGCUCACUGGCCCGGUACUGACGCUGAGGUGCGAAAGCGUGGGGAGCAAACAGG
rnacentral:rRNA from 1 species